GACGAACGCUGGCGGCGUGCCUAAUACAUGCAAGUCGAGCGGAAGUUGAAGAGCUUGCUCUUCAACUUUAGCGGCGGACGGGUGAGUAACACGUGGGCAACCUGCCCUGCAGAUCGGGAUAACUCCGGGAAACCGGUGCUAAUACCGAAUAGUUUUCGCCACCUCCUGGUGGCGUACGGAAAGACGGUUUCGGCUGUCACUGCAGGAUGGGCCCGCGGCGCAUUAGCUAGUUGGUGGGGUAACGGCCCACCAAGGCGACGAUGCGUAGCCGACGUGAGAGGGUGAUCGGCCACGCUGGGACGGAGACACGGCCCAGACGCCUACGGGAGGCAGCAGUAGGGAAUCUUCCGCAAUGGACGAAAGUCUGACGGAGCAACGCCGCGUGAGUGACGAAGGUUUUCGGAUCGUAAAACUCUGUUGUGAGGGAAGAACAAGUACCAACUAACUACUGGUACCUUGACGGUACCUCACCAGAAAGCCACGGCUAACUACGUGCCAGCCGCCGCGGUAACAC
rnacentral:rRNA from 1 species